AUUGAACGCUGGCGGCAUGCUUUACACAUGCAAGUCGAACGGUAACAGGGAGCUUGCUCCGCUGACGAGUGGCGAACGGGUGAGUAAUGCGUCGGAACGUGCCGAGUAGUGGGGGAUAACGCAGCGAAAGUUGUGCUAAUACCGCAUACGUACUGAGGUAGAAAGUGGGGGACCUUCGGGCCUCACGCUAUUCGAGCGGCCGACGUCUGAUUAGCUAGUAGGUGAGGUAAAGGCUCACCUAGGCGACGAUCAGUAGCGGGUCUGAGAGGAUGAUCCGCCACACUGAGACUGAGACACGGCCCAGACUGCUACGGGAGGCAGCAGUGGGGAAGUUUGGACAACGGGCGAAAGGCUGAUCCAGCCAUGCCUCGUGUCUGAAGAAGGCCCUCGGGUUGUAAAGGACUUUUGUCGGGGAGGAAAUCCCCAGCGUUAAUACCGCUGGGGGAUGACAGUACCUGAAGAAUAAGCACCGGCUAACUACGUGCCAGCCGCCGCGGUAACAC
rnacentral:rRNA from 1 species